rnacentral:pre_miRNA from 1 species
AAAAUACUCCCUCCGUCCGAAAAUACUUCUCAUCAAAAUGGAUAAAAGGAAAUGUAUCUAGACUUAUUUUAGUUUUAGAUACAUCUCUUUUAUCCAUUUUGAUGACAAGUAUUUUCAGACGGAGGGAGUAUUUA